rnacentral:rRNA from 1 species
GACGAACGCUGGCGGCGUGCUUAACACAUGCAAGUCGAACGGAAAGGCCCUGCUUGCAGGGUACUUGAGUGGCGAACGGGUGAGUAACACGUGGGUGACCUGCCCUGCACUUCGGGUUAAGCUUGGGAAACUGGGUCUAAUACCGGAUAGGACCGCACUAUAGUGUGUGUGGUGGACAGAUUUUUCGGCGUAGGAUGAGCUGGCGGCCUAUCAGCUUGUUGGUGGGGUAAUGGCCUACCAAGGCGGCGACGCGUAGCUGGACUGAGAGGGUGUACGGCCACAUUGAGACUGAGAGACGGCCGAGACGCCGACGAGAGGCAGCAGUGGGGAAUAUUGCACAAGGGGCGCAGGCCUGAUGCAGCGGCUCCUCGUGGGGGAGAAAGGCCUUCGGGUUGAAGACGCCUAUCGCGAGGGACCAAGCUUGUUGUGACGGUACCUAGAUAAUAAGCACCGGCUAACUACGUG